GUCACGUUCUGAUUUGGCU
rnacentral:miRNA from 1 species